ACCUGUUUCACGGGACAAUGGAUGGAGUUUAAUUCUUAUAUUGCAUACACGGAAAGAUCACAACCUUGGCUUGCACAAAUAAAAACGUAAGCAUAUUUAUGGAUCAUUUGAGCAAAACGAGUUGGGCAUAGUAAUCAACCACACAUCUAUCGAUUUAAUGAAACCAUAGGCACACGUUAGUCGCAGGAACACCAAUUAAGCUACAGAUCGAACCUACUAUGCUUAUAAAAUUUGGGGCAACAGAUUAUAUGUAGUACUAAAAUUAGUAAAAAAGAGCGAUGAAGUGUAGAGACUGGUCACCUGAUUAAGGGAAAAGCCGGGUGGGGGCGAUGGUUUGGCUGUUGGAACUCCUGGAAGGGGAUCUGGGAGCGAGCGUGCCCUGAUCCAACGAGCAUAUCACCUGACAAAAACGGAUCAAGCCAACAAACGAGUAUAGGCAUUGAGUUGGGUGAGAGAGGAUUAUAAAUAUCUCCGGAGGAAACCAGACAUCCACCGGCGUCUCUGCAGCCCGUCGAUGGUUGGUUGUGCAGCAGCGUUUGGGUAGGCGGCUCGCCGCUGCACAUAAUUGACCAACCCUGAGCAUCUGAAUCCAUAACGCGAGGACUGUGGUAGAGAUGCCCAUGCAGGAUCGUGAAAACGAGUAUCAGCGGCGACCGUGGUAUAACGGCAGGAGAGGAUCUGGCAGGGUCGUAUUGCUAUCCGGGGGAGAGGAUUUGGAAGAAGCGCAUUACUAGCGAGGAGAUUAUGGGGAUUGUGGGGAAAUAAAAAGAACGGAGCAUAAGUGAAGUUAAAUAACGCGACUUGUCUUAUCUCUCCACUCGCGCAGGAAGUGGGAGGUUUGUUUCCUUGAAGCGCAUCGCUAGUCCGUUGCAAGAUAUGCGUAGCUAUAUGGGGGUUCGUGGUGUAGUGAAUGCACCUAAUGCAUGGUGAUCUGGAAAGUUCAUUUUGGUUGUUCUGGAUCGGACUACCAUUUUUUCAUCACCACUCAAUGCUUGGAUGGGUCGGUAAUAGGUUUAGAUUUGUAGUGAUUUCAGCAUAAUACGAUGUCAGAUUCCCGUUUGUUCAUUGUUUCAGUUUUUAAACUUGAAUUUUAAUAUUCCUACAUAUAUUAGUUUGCUUUGCCGAGCCUUGAAAUUUACUUCCUUGCAGCAAUUAUUUGAACUGGUUUAAGGCGUGAUCAGAAGUCCUCCAGCUUAUGGAUUCCCGAAACUCCGGCGUGGAGCAGUGCCAAAAAGUGUAGAUUCAUGGAGCCAGAUUUGAGAAGCCUGCCCAAUUUGAUGUACAAAUAUACAUUUAUAGGUGGAUCUGAUUAAAGGGGCAUUGGCACCAUUGGCAUCUUGAUGGCAGAGCAAUGAUGCGCAUCCACUGGUUAUAGAGAGAUAUGAGGUCAAUUAUAUCAGUGCAAAUAUUAAGAAGGUGCAUCAAAAGUAUGGAACUGUGUGCGCUGCCGACUUCACUCACCACUAUAAAGCUUUGGCCCUAAUAAGACCAGUUCAUAUUAACACUAUGUGUACCUGUCUCACCUAUCUAUCCUGUUUCGUAAGAUCAGGUUUUUGAACACAUGUAUCUAUUUGGUAGAUCACCGGUGGUUCUUUCCAUAUAGCUUCAGCACUGGCGCGGCGUGCCGCCGCGCCCUUCUUUUGCUAGUAUUAGACUAUGUUUCUACUUCACAACAAGCUUCCAUUUCUCGAUGUAUCCUAUUCUGAAGGUAGACCCUAUUGUCUUUCUCUUUUCUUGCACUUCAUUUGCUAAUUGGUAGUAUUGAAAAGAGAGGUGGCGAAACUCUUGAAGGAUAGAAGGGGUACACUGUUUUUGUGGUCAUAUAUAGACUCUUAGCGUAUAUUGUGUUGAAAACUCUUCACGAAGGGUUGUUGAGUAUAUUGAUCACAUA